rnacentral:rRNA from 1 species
CAGCCGCCGCGGGAAUACGAAGGGGGCUAGCGUUGUUCGGAAUUACUGGGCGUAAAGCGCACGUAGGCGGACAUUUAAGUCAGGGGUGAAAUCCCGGGGCUCAACCCCGGAACUGCCUUUGAUACUGGGUGUCUAGAGUAUGGAAGAGGUGAGUGGAAUUCCGAGUUUAGAGGUGAAAUUCGUAGAUAUUCGGAGGAACACCAGUGGCGAAGGCGGCUCACUGGUCCAUUACUGACGCUGAGGUGCGAAAGCGUGGGGAGCAAACAGGAUUAGAUACCCCCGUAGUCCCUGUCUCUUAUAC